CAGCCGCCACGGUAAUACGUAGGGUGCAAGCGUUAAUCGGAAUUACUGGGCGUAAAGCGUGCGCAGGCGGUUUUGUAAGUCUGUCGUGAAAUCCCCGGGCUCAACCUGGGAAUGGCGAUGGAGACUGCAAGGCUAGAAUCUGGCAGAGGGGGGUAGAAUUCCACGUGUAGCAGUGAAAUGCGUAGAUAUGUGGAGGAACACCGAUGGCGAAGGCAGCCCCCUGGGCUAAGAUUGACGCUCAUGCACGAAAGCGUGGGGAGCAAACAGGAUUAGAUACCCGGGUAGUCCCUGUCUCUUAUAC
rnacentral:rRNA from 1 species